rnacentral:antisense_RNA from 3 species
CUUGAGGGAGCCCAGCCACAGCGGCUCACCGCCCUCGCGGCCCUGCCCGUACGUGGCGAGCAGCGCCUGCGCCUC